rnacentral:rRNA from 1 species
UGGGGAAUUUUGGACAAUGGGCGAAAGCCUGAUCCAGCAAUGCCGCGUGUGUGAAGAAGGCCUUCGGGUUGUAAAGCACUUUUGUCCGGAAAGAAAUCCUUGGCUCUAAUACAGUCGGGGGAUGACGGUACCGGAAGAAUAAGCACCGGCUAACUACGUGCCAGCAGCCGCGGUAAUACGUAGGGUGCAAGCGUUAAUCGGAAUUACUGGGCGUAAAGCGUGCGCAGGCGGUUUGCUAAGACCGAUGUGAAAUCCCCGGGCUCAACCUGGGAACUGCAUUGGUGACUGGCAGGCUAGAGCAUGGCAGAGGGGGGUAGAAUUCCACGUGUAGCAGUGAAAUGCGUAGAGAUGUGGAGGAAUACCGAUGGCGAAGGCAGCCCCUGGGCCCAAUACUGACGCUCAUGCACGAAAGCGUGGGGAGGCAAA